rnacentral:misc_RNA from 1 species
AGAGGCCCAUCAGAAUGGCCGAAAUCCUUGCCCGCGUCAUGAAGCGCCGUCCCGUAUCCAUAAGUUCAAUCUAUGGGCGGCAACGUCUCCGAUUGAGGCGCGCCCGUCAACACCAUGAACACGCAAAUUGAGGGGGAGUUCAGCGUCAUGCCACCCCCCUUUGAAGCGCUCUUCGAAACCCUUGGCCCCGGUGGACAAGCCCUUU